UCCGCUGCGGGGCAGCCGCGGCGGGAGGGCGGCAGACGGGGCUGGGAGCGGCGGUGCGCCAGGCCGCGGGCUUGGCGUGCAGCACCCGAGUUAGCACUGAAGGCAGAGCCGCUCCCGGCUGCGUGCCAGGCUUCCCCUGCUGCCGGCUCACUUUUAAGCCCACACGGUGAAACACAAUUGUUUUCGGGUGGAAAAAUAACCAUCAUUUUCUCAGGGUGAUCAUUUCUUUCCCUGGUUCCUCACAGCGCCUUGCAAAUCCUCCGACUAACAGUAAAGAGGGCAGCACAGGGAUACAACGAAAAACAAGGCUGCUUAAACCUUGUGUUUUGUCCAAGAAGGAAAAAAAAGUAGAAGAUCAUCGUUUCUGAGGGGGGGUUAUUAGCAGGGAAGCCUGUGUGCCUGAAGGUGCCGCGCAGGUGGCCCUAGCGCGCAGCUGCCUGCCGUCGGCAGCCCAGGCGUGCCCGCGCUGCCGGAGCAGGCCGCGGUGAGGGGGGAGCGCCUCGAACCCCUUCCCCACGUCCCUUCGCCAGGGCUCGGGAUUUACGGUGUUCGAGAUGGGGCUGGGAAGAGACGUUGCUACGGAGAGGAGAGAUAGUGUUUGGUUUCAGACACGGGCAGAUCUGACUUAAUUUCCCAAUCCUGCGUUGUAUUUCCUGUGUGAUCUUUUGGGUUCUUCACCAGCUCACUGACUCUGUGUUCCCUGCUUUUGUCCGUAGAAAUCUUUCACGGAGGGGCUGGGAGCUCUGCCUGUCAGUACGUAACAAGAUGUCCAUGUUGCAAAGGUGAGGCCAUGGGAGAUGCAGCGUGUACUGAAAACGCAACCAGACCCUGCUCCUCCUUCAGAUCGUCCUUAGAAAUCCCGUGGAACCAAGGCACGCCAGCAAGGCCUCCUUUGUCAGGAUCCGAGCUGCUACAGGACACCAACUGAACUAAUCCAAAGAGAAACCCCUGCAGUGGUUUUACGAUGAACUGAGCUUUUCACUCAUCGAGACUCUUCCCCUCUUCGGCAGCAUUUGUUAUGUUCCCAGGUGACCGCACAAAUGUUUGUGUCAGCACAACAGAGAACAGCAGCCUGGGGGCAAGAGCAAGAAGACGGAGGCUCCAGUGCAGGGGAGUUUUGAAGUGAAAUACAAUGCAGAACAGAGUGUGAAGAGUGGUGGCUCCUGCAGGCAUCUGGAAACCUGGAUCACAAUCAAAAAGUGACAUAAUUC